rnacentral:lncRNA from 7 species
CUCAGACUCCAGCCACGUCUCGGCUCCCAUUUACGCCUGCACACCUUUCUCCUUCCCCUUCCCGAAGGGUCAGCCGAGAUACUCGCUGAAGGAAGGGGAGAGCUGUUUUCGCUGGUUGUGUUUUUGUCUGCUUAAACAUGAGGCUGGAAAACACUUCUCUGUGGUCUGAUAAAUAAUAAAAGUGAUCAUUUCUCCUUCCCUGUAAAUGACACAGGCAGCGCUUCAGACUACGGUGUUUGCACAGCAGAUUGUAAAAUUGUGUCUCAGAGCUCCAAGGGGGCUAGAACUGUCACGAAUACUUCUAAUAAUAUUGGAAGAAAAUUAAUAGAAGCUCAAGUCCUUGAGCAGGAAUCAGAAUCACACAGCACGGCAUUACGCAGCCUCUGAAAUUUGAGGAACUGCUGUACAACAUUUCCCAUGUUCAGUUGAGUAGCCAUGUUUUAUCCUCCAGUAAAUGUUUAUUCGGCUGAUCUUACAUUUGGGAAAACUACGGAAUUAUUCAAGGCCAAAUUGCCAGUCCUGCCGAGAUCAUUCAGAGUGCUCUUGAUGUGGUUGUUCCUUGAACCAUCUGCUGAAAGACUAGAGGAGUGGCAGGCUUGUGGCACAAUCUGGUCUCAUGGUAACCUCAGGAAAUCCAGUUCUUACAUGAUGUACCUAUACCAAAAAGCAAUGCUUAUCUUUUUUACUCCUAACCUCCAAAACUUUAGGGAUUUUAUAAAUGCCAAAGAGGAGUAUGCCGCAAAGUUUCAUAAGAGCAUACAGAGAGGAUUAUUGAGCCUGUUUUCUUCAUGUUCUUGCUGGCACAUGUCUUUUGUCCGGAUGUUAUAUAUCUGAAUGCAUUUUUGGAGCUUUCUUCAGAGUUUCCCCCUCUCCCUGGGCGUAGGGAUUGAACACAGAGUCUUACUUAUACAAAACAGUGGCUGAAGAAAGCUUUACUAAAUUGUUUUCAUUUCCACCAAAAGGGCCAGAAAAAGCUUCACAUCUUACAACUCCCUACCUGCUUUGACAAGAAGGACUUCAAAAUGUCAUGUGUCAUCCCACUCCUGUUCCUUGUAGUUUCAUGUUAUUUUGCAAGAAUUCAAAUAUCUAAGGCUGUGUUUAAUUUCAGUCAUGGGUCAGGCAAGAGUGCAAUUUGUAGAGAACUUGAGUGCAAUGGGUCCAUUAGGAUGUAACUUAAUAUCUGUUUUACAAAUGAGCUGCAUUAAAAACAUACCAUUGGUUAAUGAGGUUAUAAUGUUAAUUAAAAGAAUUAAAAACUGCAAUAUGAAAUAAAAUCAAACAAGACAGUUAC